GGUCAAGCUACAAAGAGCUCACGGCGGAUACCUUGGCACACAGAGGCGAUGAAGGACGUGGUUACCUGCGAUAAGUCUCGGGGAGCUGGAAACACGCUUUGAUCCGGGAAUUUCCGAAUGGGGCAACCCCUAGAACGGCCAGCUGAAUCCAUAGGCUGGCGCGAGCCAACCCAGCGAACUGAAACAUCUUGAGAAGAA
rnacentral:rRNA from 1 species